ensembl:lncRNA
CUUGGACUCCAUCUACCUACUGGGUUAAGAAUCCUCCCCAAAGCUCGGUGUGUGUGUUGCAUGCCUGAAAUCCCAGCACUCUGGGAGGCUAAUGCAGGAGGAUUACAAGUUCGAGCCCAGCCUGGGUGACUUGGCUAGAACUUGAAAAAAGUCUGACUGUGCCAGGCCCACUCACAGCCCCCAGCAGAAGGACCAGUGGGAAAGUGGCUGUGCUCCUCAUUCCUGAACCCUCCCCAAAAGCCUCAUUGUGAAUCAGUCUGCCCUGGGUGAGGGCCCACCCUGGCUGUGGCAGCCACACCCUUGGAAGAGGGGCAUAGAAAGCC